rnacentral:rRNA from 1 species
UACAGAGGGUGCGAGCGUUAAUCGGAAUUACUGGGCGUAAAGCGUGCGUAGACGGCUAUCUAAGUCGGGUGUGAAAGCCCCGGGCUCAACCUGGGAAUUGCAUUCGAGACUGAAUAGCUAGGGUACGGUAGAGGGAAGCGGAAUUUCCGGUGUAGCGGUGAAAUGCGUAGAUAAUCAGGAGGAACACCGGUGGCGAAGGCGGAUCUCUGGGCCUGUUCUGACGCUGAGGCGCGAAAGCUAGGGGAGCGAACAGG